AGCUCCAAUAGCGUAUAUUUAAGUUGCUGCGGUUAAAAAGCUCGUAGUCGGAUUUCGGGUGCUGCGCACCGGUCCGCCUUUGGUGAGUACUGGUGUGCGCCACCUUUCUGCCGGGGACGGGUUCCUGGGCUUAAUUGUCUGGGACCCGGAGCCGGCGAUGUCACUUUGAGUAAAUUAGGGUGUUUAAAGCAGGCUUAUGCUCUGUAUACACUAGCAUGGGAUGACACGAUAGGACUUCGGCUUAUCUUGUCGGUCUGUAGGUCGGAGUAAUGAUUAAGAGGGACAGUCGGGGGCAUUCGUAUUUCGUAGUCAGAGGUGAAAUUCUUGGAUUUACGGAAGACGAACUUCUGCGAAAGCAUUUGCCAAGGAUGUUUUCA
rnacentral:rRNA from 1 species